rnacentral:rRNA from 1 species
AAACUCAGAUUACAGACGCAUAUGGCGCUGUAGGGACUUCCCUGCAGCACGUC